AGCAGCCGCGGUAAUUCCAGCUCCAAUAGCGUAUAUUAAAGUUGUUGCAGUUAAAAAGCUCGUAGUUGAAUUUCGGGGUUCUACCGUUGGUCGGGCUUUGUCUGUACUGGCGUGUGGAAUUUCUACCUUCUGGGGAACCAUCAUGUUAUUAAUUUAACGUGGUGGGAAACCAGGACCUUUACCUUGAAAAAAUUAGAGUGUUCAAAGCAGGCUUAUGUCUGAAUACAUUAGCAUGGAAUAAUAGAAUAGGACGGUGGUCCUGUUUUGUUGGUUUCUGAAUCACCGUAAUGAUUAAUAGGGACAGUCGGGGGCAUCAGUAUUCAAUUGUCAGAGGUGAAAUUCUUGGAUUUAU
rnacentral:rRNA from 1 species